GCUGAACUUAAGCAUAUCAGUAAGCGGAGGAAAAGAAAACAACUGUGAUUCCCUUAGUAACUGCGAGUGAAGCGGGAUAAGCCCAUCGUUAAAUCUUCCUGGACUAUGGACAGGACGACGUGUAACGGUAUGGAUAGGUCUACUACUAACAAUAUCCAAUCAAAGUCCUCCGGAUUGAGGUGCCAUAGAGGGUGACAGCCCCGUAUGUGAUUGGAUAGAGUUGGGUAUGUAACCAAUUCCCAGAGUCGGGUUGUUUGGGACUGCAACCUAAAGUAGGUGGUAAACUCCACCCAAGGCUAAAUAUAGACACGAAACCGAUAGCGAACAAGUACUGUGAGGGAAAGUUGAAAAGAACUCUGAAAAGAGAGUUAAAAGUACGUGAAACCGCUAACGGGGAAGCGGAAAGCAGUGUCGAGAUCUUGUGUGUGAGUCCAAUCAAUUAUAUUUGCUAUGCAUCUAAUUGUGCAAGGGGGUAUGUAAUAUAUGAUUGAUUUGGCUAGCAUUACUUGAUGCGUCAGGUCUAUUGGUACCUAUUAUGAUACAAUUGUCUAUUAUUGGCUUAUAUGACACCUAACUACAUUUGUUUUUAGGCUCGUAUAGGCGGUAGUCAAUCAAUCAUAUGUACUGAUAUGUAUUGUAAUGAGACGUUGAUGAUUUUUUAUAUAAAGUCGGUUGGUGCUAUAUAUCACCUAUAUAUUGAUUACAUUGUAAUUAUAUAUAUAGAAUGUGUAGUGUUAUCCAAUAAUCAAUGUCAGUAUCUGACGAGAUACCCAACUUUCC
rnacentral:rRNA from 1 species